AGUCUUAUAUUCAAUAAUGAUUUUAAAUUGCAAAUUUAAAGGUGGGGUUUAGCCUAAGGCUU
rnacentral:tRNA from 1 species